rnacentral:rRNA from 1 species
AUUGAACGCUGGCGGCAGGCCUAACACAUGCAAGUCGAACGAGUGGCGGACGGGUGAGUAAUGUCUGGGAAAAUGCCUGAUGGAGGGGGAUAACUACUGGAAACGGUAGCUAAUACCGCAUACUAUCGGAUGAACCCAUAUGGGAUUAGCUAGUAGGUGUGGUAAUGGCUCACCCAGGCAACGAUCUCUAGCUGGUCUGAGAGGAUGCUCCGCCACAUUGGGACUGAGACACGGCCCAGACUCCUACGGGAGGCAGCAGUGGGGAAUAUUGCAAAAUGGGCGCAAGCCUGAUGCAGCCAUGCCGCGUGUAUGAAGAAGGCCUUAGGGUUGUAAAGUACUUUCAGCGGGGAGGCGUUACCCGCAGAAGAAGCACCGGCUAACUCCGUGCCAGCAGCCGCGGUAAUUC